UACGGGGGGGGCAAGCGUUGUUCGGAAUUACUGGGCGUAAAGGGCUCGUAGGCGGCCAACUAAGUCGGAUGUGAAAUCCCCAGGCUUAACCUGGGAACUGCAUCCGAUACUGGAUGGCUUGAAUCCGGGAGAGGGAUGCAGAAUUCCAGGUGUAGCGGUGAAAUGCGUAGAUAUCUGGAGGAAUACCGGUGGCGAAGGCGGCAUCCUGGACCGGCAUUGACGCUGAUGAGCGAAAGCUGGGGGAGCAAACGGG
rnacentral:rRNA from 1 species